rnacentral:rRNA from 1 species
AUUGAACGCUGGCGGCAGGCCUAACACAUGCAAGUCGAGCGGUAACAGGGGGUGCUUGCACCCCGCUGACGAGCGGCGGACGGGUGAGUAAUGCAUAGGAAUCUGCCCGAUAGUGGGGGAUAACCUGGGGAAACCCAGGCUAAUACCGCAUACGUCCUACGGGAGAAAGGGGGCUCCGGCUCCCGCUAUCGGAUGAGCCUAUGUCGGAUUAGCUGGUUGGUGAGGUAACGGCUCACCAAGGCGACGAUCCGUAGCUGGUCUGAGAGGAUGAUCAGCCACAUCGGGACUGAGACACGGCCCGAACUCCUACGGGAGGCAGCAGUGGGGAAUAUUGGACAAUGGGGGGAACCCUGAUCCAGCCAUGCCGCGUGUGUGAAGAAGGCCCUCGGGUUGUAAAGCACUUUCAGUGAGGAAGAACGCCUGGUGGUUAAUACCCAUCAGGAAAGACAUCACUCACAGAAGAAGCACCGGCUAACUCCGUGCCAGCAGCCGCGGUAAUACGGAGGGUGCGAGCGUUAAUCGGAAUUACUGGGCGUAAAGCGCGCGUAGGUGGCUUGAUAAGCCGGUUGUGAAAGCCCCGGGCUCAACCUGGGAACGGCAUCCGGAACUGUCAAGCUAGAGUGCAGGAGAGGAAGGUAGAAUUCCCGGUGUAGCGGUGAAAUGCGUAGAGAUCGGGAGGAAUACCAGUGGCGAAGGCGGCCUUCUGGACUGACACUGACACUGAGGUGCGAAAGCGUGGGUAGCAAACAGG